rnacentral:rRNA from 1 species
CCUACGGGGGGCUGCAGUGGGGAAUAUUGGACAAUGGGGGGAACCCUGAUCCAGCCAUGCCGCGUGUGUGAAGAAGGCCCUCGGGUUGUAAAGCACUUUCAGUGAGGAAGAACGCCUGGUGGUUAAUACCCAUCAGGAAAGACAUCACUCACAGAAGAAGCACCGGCUAACUCCGUGCCAGCAGCCGCGGUAAUACGGAGGGUGCGAGCGUUAAUCGGAAUUACUGGGCGUAAAGCGCGCGUAGGUGGCUUGAUAAGCCGGUUGUGAAAGCCACGGGCUCAACCUGGGAACGGCAUCCGGAACUGUCAAGCUAGAGUGCAGGAGAGGAAGGUAGAAUUCCCGGUGUAGCGGUGAAAUGCGUAGAGAUCGGGAGGAAUACCAGUGGCGAAGGCGGCCUUCUGGACUGAAACUGACACUGAGGUGCGAAAGCGUGGGUAGCAAACAGGAUUAGAUACCCCUGUAGUC